rnacentral:rRNA from 1 species
UACGAAGGGGGCUAGCGUUGCUCGGAAUCACUGGGCGUAAAGGGUGCGUAGGCGGGUCUUUAAGUCAGGGGUGAAAUCCUGGAGCCCAACUCCAGAACUGCCUUUGAUACUGAGGAUCUUGAGUUCGGGAGAGGUGAGUGGAACUGCGAGUGUAGAGGUGAAAUUCGUAGAUAUUCGCAAGAACACCAGUGGCGAAGGCGGCUCACUGGCCCGAUACUGACGCUGAGGCACGAAAGCGUGGGGAGCAAACAGGG